rnacentral:rRNA from 1 species
UACAGAGGUCUCAAGCGUUGUUCGGAUUCAUUGGGCGUAAAGGGUGCGUAGGCGGCGCGGUAAGUCGGGUGUGAAAUCUCGGAGCUUAACUCCGAAACUGCAUUCGAUACUGCCGUGCUUGAGGACUGGAGAGGAGACUGGAAUUUACGGUGUAGCGGUGAAAUGCGUAGAUAUCGUAAGGAAGACCAGUGGCGAAGGCGGGUCUCUGGACAGGUCCUGACACUGAGGCACGAAGGUCAGGGGAGCAAACGGG